rnacentral:rRNA from 1 species
AACGAACGCUGGCGGCAUGCCUAACACAUGCAAGUCGAACGAAGGCUUCGGCCUUAGUGGCGCACGGGUGCGUAACGCGUGGGAAUCUGCCCCUCGGUUCGGAAUAACAGUUAGAAAUGACUGCUAAUACCGGAUGAUGACUUCGGUCCAAAGAUUUAUCGCCGAGGGAUGAGCCCGCGUAAGAUUAGGUAGUUGGUGGGGUAAGGGCCUACCAAGCCGACGAUCUUUGGCUGGUCUGAGAGGAUGAUCAACCACACUGGGACUGAGACACGGCCCUGACUCCUACGGGAGGCAGCAGUGGGGAAUAUUGGACAAUGGGCGAAAGCCUGAUCCAGCAAUGCCGCGUGAGUGAUGAAGGCCUUAGGGUUGUAAAGCUCUUUUACCAGGGAUGAUAAUGACAGUACCUGGAGAAUAAGCUCCGGCUAACUCCGUGCCAGCCGCCGCAGUAA